rnacentral:rRNA from 1 species
UACGUAGGUGGCAAGCGUUUUCCGGAUUUAUUGGGUUUAAAGGGUGCGUAGGCGGCCCUGUAAGUCAGUGCUGAAAUAUCCCAGCUUAACUGGGAGGGUGGCAUUGAUACUGCGGGGCUAGAGUACAGAUGAGGUAGGCGGAAUUGACGGUGUAGCGGUGAAAUGCUUAGAUAUGACACAGAACACCGAUUGCGAAGGCAGCUCACUAAACUGUAACUGACGCUGAGGCACGAAAGCGUGGGGAGCAAACAGG